rnacentral:rRNA from 1 species
UACGUAGGGGGCUAGCGUUAUCCGGAAUUACUGGGCGUAAAGGGUGCGUAGGUGGUUUCUUAAGUCAGAGGUGAAAGGCUACGGCUCAACCGUAGUAAGCCUUUGAAACUGGGAAACUUGAGUGCAGGAGAGGAGAGUGGAAUUCCUAGUGUAGCGGUGAAAUGCGUAGAUAUUAGGAGGAAAACCAGUUGCGAAGGCGGCUCUCUGGACUGUAACUGACACUGAGGCACGAAAGCGUGGGGAGCAAACAGG